rnacentral:rRNA from 1 species
UACGGGGGGGGCAAGCGUUGUUCGGAUUUACUGGGCGUAAAGGGCGCGUAGGCGGCCACCGCAAGUCAAUUGUGAAAUCUCCGGGCUUAACUCGGAAAGGUCAACUGAUACUGCGGGGCUAGAGUACAGAAGGGGCAACCGGAAUUCCCAGUGUAGCGGUGAAAUGCGUAGAUAUUGGGAAGAACACCUGAGGCGAAGGCGGGUUGCUGGGCUGAUACUGACGCUGAGGCGCGAAAGCCAGGGGAGCAAACGGG